GGAAUCGCAGGAAUAAUCCUUUUCAUUGGUGGCAUAACAUACUCUGUGAUCAACAGAAAGUCACUGAGGAAAGGAAGAAGCCAAGACUGUGGAUGUUUCUAAGCCUGGAAGACCCAUCCCUUCAGCCCAAGAGAUCUGGGCCAACUGAACUCCAGAAGGCAAAGGAGAAGCCAGCCAGCUUGGGGGCCCCUCAAUAAAAAGCAAUGAACCAAC